GCAUUUGAAGCUAGGGCUGCUUGGUUGUCUGUUGCUUGUGCUCAAAACCUUAGCAAGUUCACCAAUCCUGAAGACGGUUUCCAAGCACUCUCAGCUGAUCUCGCUGAGGCAGCAGUGGCUCAUUGCCAAUUAAUUGUUGUUUCCAAAUUCCUUGAGAAGUUGCAACAAGAUAUACCUG